AGUUAACACAAGAUCAGCCUGAA
rnacentral:piRNA from 1 species